AUAAGAGGUCCAGCCUGCCCAGUGAAAUUAUUCAACGGCCGCGGUAUCCUAACCGUGCGAAGGUAGCGUAAUCACUUGUUCUUUAAAUGAGGACUAGUAUGAAUGGCAUCACGAGGGUUUUACUGUCUCCUUUUUUAAAUCAGUGAAACUAAUCUCCCCGUGAAGAAGCGGGGAUUUUGUUAUAAGACGAGAAGACCCUAUGGAGCUUAAAACAAACAACAUUUGCUGCACAUAAUACUUUUAUCUUCAAGAAGUAUAGCAUUAUGAUAUUUAGUUUUUGAUUGGGGUGAUCACGGAGCAAAAUAAAACCUCCACGCCGAAAGGGUUUAUACCCUGAGCAAAAAGCUACAGCUUUAAGCACUAAAAAAUUAACGUAUUUGACCCAAUAUUUUGAUCAACGAACCAAGUUACCCUAGGGAUAACAGCGCAAUCCACUUCAAGAGCUCCUAUCGACAAGUGGGUUUACGACCUCGAUGUUGGAUCAGGGUGUCCUAGUGGUGCAGCCGCUACUAAUGGUUCGUUUGUUCAACGAUUAAAACCCUACGUGA
rnacentral:rRNA from 1 species